rnacentral:rRNA from 1 species
AUUGAACGCUGGCGGCAGGCUUAACACAUGCAAGUCGAGCGGAGAUGAGGUGCUUGCACCUUAUCUUAGCGGCGGACGGGUGAGUAAUGCUUAGGAAUCUGCCUAUUAGUGGGGGACAACAUUCCGAAAGGAAUGCUAAUACCGCAUACGUCCUACGGGAGAAAGCAGGGGAUCUUCGGACCUUGCGCUAAUAGAUGAGCCUAAGUCGGAUUAGCUAGUUGGUGGGGUAAAGGCCUACCAAGGCGACGAUCUGUAGCGGGUCUGAGAGGUUGAUCCGCCACACUGGGACUGGGACACGGCCCAGACUCCUACGGGAGGCAGCAGUGGGGAAUAUUGGACAAUGGGGGGAACCCUGAUCCAGCCAUGCCGCGUGUGUGAAGAAGGCCUUAUGGUUGUAAAGCACUUUAAGCGAGGAGGAGGCUACUGAGACUAAUACUCUUGGAUAGCGGACGUUACUCGCAGAAUAAGCACCGGCUAACUCUGUGCCAGCCGCCGCCGUAACAC